AUGCCGUCGCGCUCGCUCCGCGUCGCCGUCAUCGGCGCCGGGGCCGCCGGCCUGGUGGCGGCGCGCGAGCUGCGGCGCGAAGGCCACGCCCCCGUCGUGUUCGAGCGCACCGACGGCGUGGGCGGCACCUGGGUCUACGAAGCCGACGCCGACGCGUCCGCCUCGCCGGAGCCGCCCGUCACCCAGCGGCGCUCGAACCUCUACGCGUCCCUCCGCACCAACCUCCCGCGCGAGUGCAUGGGCUUCCUCGACUUCCCCUUCGUCGCGGGCCCCGACGGCGACCCCCGCAGGUUCCCCGGCCACGCGGAGGUGCUCCGGUACCUCCAGAGCUUCGCGCGGCGGUUCGACCUCCACGGCCUCGUCCGGCUGGAGACGGAGGUGGUCCGGGUGAGCAGGGAGGCGAGCGGCACCAGCUGGCGCGUCAGGUACUCGAGGAAGGCGCCCGGCAGCGAGAAGCGCGAAGCGGAGGAGGAGGUGUUCGACGCCGUCGUCGUCUGCAACGGCCACUACUCCAAGCCGCACUUCGCCGACGUCGCCGGCGCGGAUGCUUGA
rnacentral:rRNA from 1 species